CAUAAGCAAGAUUGAAGAGGGUCAAGGAGAGAGUUGGAAUUAAGGAAGUGACACAUACAGGUAAAGACAAGUCUUUCCAGAAGCUUUGAAGAAAAAGGGAGCAGGGAUAUGGGACGAUAGUUAGAGGUGGAGGACGGGUUGAGAGGUGUUUUUUUCAUGGUAGGUAACACAGUGGCAUGUUUAAGAUCAGCAGAGACAAUGCCAGAAGAGAGAGAAAGAGAGUAGUUGAAAAUGUGUGUUAAGGAAGGCACAAGACAAUGGGAGAGAGAUCUGAUAAGGUAAGAUGGGACAGGAUCAAGCAG